CCUGACUGCUAUCGGAUUGAUACUAAGCCAUGCGAGUCAUUGUAGCAAUACAAGGCAUACGGCUCAGUAACGCGUAGUCAACCUAACCUAUGGACGGGAAUAACCUCGGGAAACUGAGAAUAAUGCCCGAUAGAACACUAUACCUGGAAUGGUUUGUGUUCCAAAUGAUUUAUCGCCAUAGGAUGGGACUGCGGCCUAUCAGUUUGUUGGUGAGGUAAUGGCCCACCAAGACUAUUACAGGUACGGGCUCUGAGAGGAGUAGCCCGGAGAUGGGUACUGAGACACGGACCCAGGCCCUAUGGGGCGCAGCAGGCGAGAAAACUUUGCAAUGUGCGAAAGCACGACAAGGUUAAUCCGAGUGAUUUGUGCUAAACGAAUCUUUUGUUAGUCCUAGAAACACUAACGAAUAAGGGGUGGGCAAGUUCUGGUGUCAGCCGCCGCGGUAAAACCAGCACCUCAAGUGGUCAGGAUGAUUAUUGGGCCUAAAGCAUCCGUAGCCGGCUCUGUAAGUUUUCGGUUAAAUCUGUACGCUUAACGUACAGGCUGCCGGGAAUACUGCAGAGCUAGGGAGUGGGAGAGGUGGACGGUACUCGGUAGGAAGUGGUAAAAUGCUUUGAUCUAUCGAUGACCACCUGUGGCGAAGGCGGUCUACCAGAACACGUCCGACGGUGAGGGAUGAAAGCUGGGGGAGCAAACCGGAUUAGAUACCCGGGUAGUCCCAGCUGUAAACUAUGCAAACUCAGUGAUGCAUUGGCUUGUGGCCAAUGCAGUGCUGCAGGGAAGCCGUUAAGUUUGCCGCCUGGGAAGUACGUACGCAAGUAUGAAACUUAAAGGAAUUGGCGGGGGAGCACCACAAGGGGUGAAGCCUGCGGUUC
rnacentral:rRNA from 1 species